UGAUGACGGUAAUCCACCGUAAUAUGAACAACACUCAAUACCGUAGUUUUUGCAUGUAUUACUAUUUAAAAAUACAUUUCGUUACUGUUAAAUGUACGGACUAUUUUGCUGCAAGUGGAAAUAUAACGUAUUAUGGCAUUCACAGCAGGUCCAGUAUUUUUUGCAUGUAUUAUUUGUACAAAAUAGAGUUUAUAAUUGUUAAUUGCAAUGAAGAUUGUAGUUAACAAAUGGUGAAGUUAACAUGGGUAACAUGGGUAUAUUAACCAUUCUGAUUUUUUAUGGAAAGGCUGGGAAAGAAAGACAGAGAAAGGGAGACAAAUUGAGGGAUAUAGAGAGAGACAGAAGGAAAGAGAGAGACACGACAGGAGGGCAGAAGUGUGGCUGUGUUAAAAAAACACAACGUUUGAAGAUUGAACUUUUCAACUCCACUUCAGAGCCAUUUCUACGCACUCUGCAUUGCUGGAACAACGGCCUAACUGACUCCGGGCUAUAUUUCUUCUUGAAGUAACUUGCCUACAUAAUCAUCUAAGCUAUAUUUUAAUUUGAUGCUUUGUUUUCUACAAUUUUGCAUCACUGUUGCAAAAACGUUGCACAGAACGUUAGCUAGCUAGCUAACAUUAGUUUACCAAAACAUUGGCUAAGGAAAAUGUUUCAAUACAAUUACUGUGGCAGGUUGGUUAAAACACAGAGGGGUUAUGUGCUUCAUUGCAAACUUCAUAGAAAUGAACCACGUUGUUUGUUUAAGUGCGUUGACGCUGGUUGCAAAAAGACCUCUGUUCGAUAUGGAGCAUUUAAGGCUCAUUUCUACCGGACACAAAUCGUUAACUUAUCAGCUUCUGUUAACGUUACUGUCGGGACAGCUCUCAAAUGCGGUGUGGCGUUAUGUGAACAUCAGUGUCAAAAUACAAAACAGCUAAAAGCGCAUUUGAAGGAGCAUCUCUUGGAAGGACGCGCUGUGAGUUUUCCAGUGAGUGGAUAUAAAAACGUUUUCAUGGUCAAAUCCCCAUUCACUGCUCACAUGUCACACAAAAUGUAUAAUUGAUGGGAUUAAUUAGAUGUGCAAUUAUCCUGGUUGUUAAAAAAUGAACCACAUGAAACGCGAAGAUAAGUCUUAAUUGAAUCUUGAGAGUGAAUGUCAUGCUGUCAGUCCAGCAGCUCCCCCUGUGUUUGUUUGCUUUGUUUGUGUUUCCGCUGUCUCUGCAAGGAGCUGUGGUCUUCCCCUGUUCAUCCCCAAAGGGUGUGGCUGGAACAGCUGACGGCAAUCAGCCAUCAGGGGACUCUCCUACAUCAACCCGGGUCUUCCUGCCAUUCAGCGCCAGAUCGUUCUGUCGUCAGAGUGAGAGGAUCAUCCCAAUCCGCAUUGAACACCUGAGGAUACAAGCCUCAAGCAGAUGGUCCCGAACCGCUACGCUUCCUGGAUGUUGAUUUACCAUAUGCUUUCUUUAAUAUUUCCUGAUGUUGACUGAAAUAUAUGCCAACCUAUUGUAAUACAUUAUACCUUAUAUUUUUGCAAUGGAUUUCUGGAAAAUACAGAUGCUGGCAAUUUGCUUUGAACUUUGUAAUAAAAUACCGUAACUCA
ensembl:lncRNA